rnacentral:rRNA from 1 species
CAGUCGCCACGGUAAUACGUAGGGUGCAAGCGUUAAUCGGAAUUACUGGGCGUAAAGCGUGCGCAGGCGGUUUGUUAAGACAGAUGUGAAAUCCCCGGGCUCAACCUGGGAACUGCAUUUGUGACUGGCCGCCUAGAGUAUGGCAGAGGGAGGUGGAAUUCCACGUGUAGCAGUGAAAUGCGUAGAUAUGUGGAGGAACACCGAUGGCGAAGGCAGCCUCCUGGGCCAAUAUUGACGCUCAUGCACGAAAGCGUGGGGAGCAAACAGGAUUAGAUACCCGUGUAGUCCCUGUCUCUUAUAC